AAACCACAGGAACCAGGUGGCCUAGCAACCUAGACAGACAGACAGAGGGAGUUCAGUCAGUCAGUAAUAAAAAGCUGUGGCUGUCUGGCUUCAGGGAGAAGAAAAUUGCUUGGAUGAUCACUUCAGCACUCUACUAGUCAUCACAGCAAGGGAAAUGCCCAAUGGGAACACAAAAGAAAAGGAAGAAAAAAAAAUGACCAAAAGGAAUCAAAAGAUUCCAGUGGAUUCAGAAUGGGCCAAAAUGUGAAGGCAGAGUGAUGAGAUGAGCCCUGUCAGAUUGUUUUCCGUCACCAACCGCAUCAUGACUGGAGCAGUUUUUAAGACGUCCCUUGUUGCUGUUAAACUUGCAAUGAUUUCAUAGGGUUUGAUUACUGAGAAAUGACUAUUUCAAGCCAAAGCAGAACAUUUGGCUAUAUCCCAGCAAACAGGCUGCCACUGCAGCCAAAGUACAGUCUGCAUCCACAGGGCACUUCCUUUACUAUCCAGAUUUGUUCAAAUCACUCAGAAAUAACACUGAGCAAUAGCAUUA